rnacentral:tRNA from 1 species
UCCCUGAUAGCUCAGUUGGUAAAGAAUUUGCCUGCAAUGCAGGAGACGCCGGUUCGAUUCCUGGUUUGGGAA